rnacentral:rRNA from 1 species
UACGGAGGAUCCAAGCGUUAUCCGGAUUCAUUGGGUUUAAAGGGUGCGUAGGCGGAAUGAUAAGUCAGUGGUGAAAGCCUGUUGCUUAACAACAGAACUGCCAUUGAUACUGUCAAUCUUGAGUACAUUUGAUGUGGGCGGAAUGUGUCAUGUAGCGGUGAAAUGCUUAGAUAUGACACAGAACACCGAUUGCGAAGGCAGCUCACAAAACUGUAACUGACGCUGAGGCACAAAAGCGUGGGUAUCAAACAGG